UGUGUGGUUUGAUUGGUCUC
rnacentral:miRNA from 1 species